rnacentral:rRNA from 1 species
UACGUAGGCAGCAAGCGUUGUUCGGAGUUACUGGGCGUAAAGGGUGCGUAGGCGGCUUUUUAAGUCUGGUGUGAAAUCUCCCGGCUCAACUGGGAGGGUGCGCCGGAUACUGAGGGGCUAGAGUGUGGGAGAGGAAAGUGGAAUUCCUGGUGUAGCGGUGAAAUGCGUAGAUAUCAGGAGGAACACCGGUGGUGUAAACGGCUUUCUGGACCAUAACUGACGCUCGAGGCGCGACAGCGUGGGAUCAAACAGG